rnacentral:rRNA from 1 species
CUGACCUCAAAUCAGGCGGGACUACCCGCUGAACUUAAGCAUAUCAAUAAGCGGAGGAAAAGAAACUAACAAGGAUUCCCCUAGUAACUGCGAGUGAAGCGGGAAAAGCUCAAAUUUAAAAUCUGGCAGCCUCUGGUUGUCCGAGUUGUAGUCUG